CUGCGGCCGAGGCGGCAGGCCCAGGAGGAGCAGUAGCUGCAGGGAAACCAGGAUGCCCAGCGACGGCGGGAAGGAGGCUCCGCGGCCACAGUCUGAGCUCUGCAUCCAGGAAGUCCAGGGUCACAGGCUCUCGGAAGUUGGUAGUCUGCAGGAAGCCAGGGAGAUGGAGUGAUCAGCAAACAGAUGUAGGAGCAGAAAAGCUGGACAGAUGGACAGUGGACAUACAGCCAGAUGGGCAGAAACAUGCUCUGUCAGAUGGACAAGCAAGACAGCCCACCAAACAGACAAAGCAAUGGAUGGCCAUCUGUAUGGAAGGACAGACAGACCGUGAGUGACAAACAGCUGGACAUACGGAUGGACAGCCGACAGCAGAUCAUAGCAGGCAGAAGCCCUGGCAGUGAAAUGCAACGAGGUACCUUUGUUAGUGCAGGCCAUCCACUGCAGGGGUGUGACAUCAUAGUUAUGCUGCCCUACAGAGAACGUGAACACGCGCACCUGUCGGAGCAAUGAGGUUAUCGCCGCGGCCACUGAGGACAGCCCUCUCCUGUCCCGAGCUCAGUUCAGGGCAGCCACCCAUCAGGGUUGAGCCUCACCGUCCGGUUGGGCCAAUUAUACUUCUCAAAAACAUCCUGCACGCGAUCUUCGCCCCCGUCCGUGAACAUCAUGAUCAUCUUGUUGCAGUUAGCCCGUGUGAUGUUGGACUAGUCAAGGGUGAACACAGAGUCAGGCAGACCUUGUCUCUCACAGGCCCAGGGUAGGGCUCCCUCCUCUGGUAGGCAAGCCUGGCCCUCUGGCCCUCUGGCCCUCUGGCCCUCCGGCCCUCCUCCCUCACAGCAGGCAGGCUAUCUGUCUCAGCUGUAUGUUUAGUGUUUACAAGGCCAUCCACCUUUAUCUUCCUGUCACUAAGCCUAUCCCUUGCCCACCCCUGGCCACCCAUCUGCCCACCCAUGGGGCUCACAUUCUGUAGCUGGUCAAAGGCGUACUCAAAGCCGGCCUUGUAGCCUGUGGUGCCCUUGGCCACCAUGCCCUGCACAGCUUCCUUGAAAACCUUCUUGUUACGCACAUUGGCCUGCACCAGGUGUGUGAAGCAAGACACAGGCUGCGCCUUCUCGUUGAACUGUGGGGGACAGUGGGGUGGUGAGUGGCUUCAGGCUGGCCACAGUGGACAGCUGUUGCACAAGGCUGAUGGUUGUCAUGGGAACAAGUUGGAGGGGGGUGAUUAGUUCCCAUCCUGCCUGCCACCUGGGCACUCACUGAGGCCACAUUCACAUAGUCAUCAUCAGAGAGUGUGUCCAGCAUCUCACAGACGGAUGUCUUCAUUAGCUUCAGGGUCAGGCCGCUCACACUGCCACUCCUGGAAACCAGGCAGGAGCUACGUAUGUGUGGGCUCUCGGUUUCUCCGGCCCUUCCCUCAGAAUGUUCCCAGGCAGGGGAAUCCAGCCCUGGCCCCACCCAUCCCAGUCCUGCCAGCCUACAGUGCUCACUCACACAUCCACAAUGAUGACCAUGUCCUUGGGUGACGAGGCCCCCUGUAUAUACCUGCCAGUGAGAAGACUCAGUUAGGGACAGCACCCCGGGACCCGUGGGUUCCUCCUC